CACGUAGGGUCCGAGCGUUGUCCGGAUUUACUGGGCGUAAAGGGCGCGCAGGCGGUCUGGUCAGUCACCGGUGAAAGCCCCCCGCUCAACGGGGGAGGGUCCGGUGAGACGGCCAGACUGGAGGCAGGGAGAGGGCGGUGGAAUUCCGGGUGUAGUGGUGAAAUGCGUAGAGAUCCGGAGGAACACCAGUGGCGAAGGCGGCCGCCUGGACCUGACCUGACGCUGAGGCGCGAAGGCGUGGGGAGCGAACGGGAUUAGAAACCCCAGUAGUCC
rnacentral:rRNA from 1 species